AUUGAACGCUGGCGGCAUGCCUUACACAUGCAAGUCGAACGGCAGCACGGGUGCUUGCACCUGGUGGCGAGUGGCGAACGGGUGAGUAGUAUAUCGGAACGUACCUUAUUGUGGGGGAUAACGCAGCGAAAGCUGUGCUAAUACCGCAUAAUCCCUAAGGGGGAAAGCGGGGGACCGUAAGGCCUCGCGCAAUUAGAGCUGCCGAUACCUGAUUAGCUAGUUGGUGAGGUAAAGGCUCACCAAGGCAACGAUCAGUAGCUGGUCUGAGAGGACGAUCAGCCACACUGGGACUGAGACACGGCCCAGACUCCUACGGGAGGCAGCAGUGGGGAAUUUUGGACAAUGGGGGCAACCCUGAUCCAGCAAUGCCGCGUGAGUGAAGAAGGCCUUCGGGUUGUAAAGCUCUUUUGUCAGGGAAGAAACAGCAGCUCUAACACAGUUUGCGAAUGACGGUACCUGAAGAAUAAGCACCGGCUAACUACGUGCCAGCCGCCGCAGUAAGAC
rnacentral:rRNA from 1 species